rnacentral:lncRNA from 1 species
UGCCAUGUGAGAUGUGCCUUUCACCUUCUGCUGUGAUUGUGAGGCCUUCCCAGCCACAUGGAACUGAGACCCAUCUGAUGAAGUGGCACUCCCAAAGAAAAGAUAAAGUCAAAUCUGGCUGGCCAGUUACAACUUCAGAGCUCUUUCAUAACUUUCUGAGGUUGUAGAUAAAUUGGACCUUCGCAGAAGACCGUGGCUGUGGACAAGUAAACAAUUCCUAUCAUACAUUUCUCACUGGAGGGAAAGUUAAAAGUUAGAUUCAAUAAAAGUGACCGCC